CCAAAAUAUAACAUGAUAAGAGCAGCUGCGCUGCGCUACUCAGGACAGAUGAUCAGUUGAAAUGUCAUUUCGUUACAUUUAUUUCUCUAAAGCCUAUAGGACGAUCUGCCACAAGAGGACAAACAGAGGGAACAGUUCUCGACACAGAUUUUAAAUCUCUGCAAUGACUUUAAAGUUUAAACAGUGGGACACAACAACACAGGGCCAGAUGAAGUUUGGAGAACAGCCAUGAGUUGUUCUCUUACAAUUUAGAAAAAAUGGGGUCAAUUUGUUUUCAAGCAGAUACAUAAUUAGCGUUAAACAAAACAUGCUUUAAUUAAGUAGAGAACUAGUUACAACAUCACAGAACAAAAUAGUUUAGGUGGCAUGGGAAAUGCCUUCUAACAAUAACUUUGUUUCCUGAAUAGAUGUCCUUAGAUUUCUCAUCUGCUCCUCUACCUUCUCAAAGGUGCCUACACAAGACAUGGAAGAUAAGAAAUUGCUAUUUGCAGCAAUGAUCAUGGAUGCUUGUAACUCUUCAGCUCUUAAAAAAUCCAUUUGCAAUUCUUCCCCUAGAAUCUUUGUUUCAGCCUCCUUUAGAUCAUACUCAAACAAACACUGAUGGAGAUCAAUGAUCAAGUGUUCCAUUUCCAACAUUCCGUUAUCUCUAAACUCCAAACACAUUUCUUUUUCAUUCAUCGCGCGUUGAAGUGAAAGCUCUUUUUCCUUCGUGUUCUUCAAACCUUGUUGUAUUUCUAAUCCAACAGCUUGUAUCUGACUCUCUACAUUUGCCACCUUCUUGUUUAGAUUUCCCAGUUCCUUUCUAAUAACCCC
rnacentral:lncRNA from 1 species